rnacentral:lncRNA from 1 species
CUAUCAUAUAUCAUAUAUAACAUAUGAUGAAUAUUUAUAUAUGAUUUUAUGUGUCUAUAUAUGUAUGAGUAGAUAGAUAGAUAUAGAUAUGUAAUUGCUAGCAGAUCAGUCAAUUGUAUUACAUUAGAACCAACUACAUUUUUAUCCAAGGCAUCAUUUGCCAAAAGAGCUGCUUCAUUUGUUUUUGUGUCUCUUCUUUCUUGAACCCCAAGAGUAAAAUGAAUUCUCUUGAGAAGUCUGGGAAGAAUAAGCAAUGAAAGAUAGAAUUUCCAUGGUCCUCAGAAAGUAAUAUCAUCCAGGCGAAGUAAUAUUUAUUACCCAACCAUCAUUUCUUCUGGAACACAUAUCAAAUAAGCUGUCCUGGGGGAGACAUGAGGCUGUAGGAAAAAGCAAAGAAAAAUCAAAUCGAUUUCUUAGACUGGGACAUGGAGACCACUUUCAGAGGCUUCAGAAGGUGAGAACAAAGCACUGACUUGUCCUCAGGAAAAACCAUAAGGUUGAUGGAUCCGAAUGACGCCUGUACAACUAAAGCCAGAGCAGGAAGGAAGUCCCUGGAAAGAGAAAUUUUAUUACUUCCUCACUUCAUAUUGAAAAAAUUGAGAAAGUACAACUUAUCUCAGCAGGCGCAGAAUAAUUGCCAAUUCUCCUCAGAUAGUAAAACCCAACUUAUUCAUCAAAAACAACAGAAAAACCUCCAAUUAAAAGAACAAGCCAAAUGUAUAGAUUUAAUGAUGGCUGACCAGAGCUAAAUAGAACAUGAAGAAGCUAUUCAGAAAUUCUUUCUUUCCCGUACCCCCUCUUCUAUUCUCCCAUGUACAUUAUCCAAACCUCUAUUAAACUUUUAUCACAACAAUUACGAUAUUGUCUCCAUUGUGCCUAUGAAUAUUUCCCUUCUCCCUUUUAAUUGCAUAUAUUCAAAGUCUCCAUCUUAUUUACCUUUGUAUGCUGCUUGCUUCUAAAACGCUCCAGGAAAAGUAAAGGUGCAUAGUAAAUAUUUGGUUAAUUGAAUUAAAUCUCAAGGAAGUAAUUUAUACCCUUAAUAUGUUAUCCUCCAGAGCACAGGAAAUUUAUUCCAUGGUUAUAAGGUGCCGCAUACAUAAUUUUAUUAAGUGAUAACUUAGAGAUACAAAGCAUUUAAUACCUUUCUCAAACAAUUUACGAUUUACCAAUUCUUGGGAGAUGUAUUAUUAAUAGAUUUGUCACACUCAGAAGAUCAGGAGAAAAAGUUGGGUGAAGAGACUUGAAGGAUAAAAGAAGUACAGGACUAAAAUCGGAGAUGUUAUUGGCAUAUGGGUUCGCAUCCCUUCACUGAACUCAAAGGACACUCCAUGCUCCUGGAGAGUUAUUUGUAACUCUGGAUGGUCAGAUAAUUGCCUGUUAAAUAGUGAAUGAAAAUUGUCAGGGGGUGACUGAAAAUGCAAGUCAUUUACAUUCCUCGGGAGAAUUUGCAAAGUAGUUCUACAGCUCAAAGUAGUUUAAAGGAAAGUGGGUUGAAGGGUCAUUGAAGAGACAUGCAACUGAUAAAGGUUGAUUGGAAUUUCCUGUCAUAUUAGCCAGUUAAUGAUGUAUUUAAAUUAUCCUGUAGGCUCUUUCAUUAUACAUUAAUGUUCAGAAUUUAACUCUUUUUUAGUUUAAAAGUUCUAGAUGGAUUUUUCAAAUUCAGAGAUGAAUAAUUCAAAUACAGGAGGGAGACUGCUGCUCAGACCCACAUACAAGAUAAAAAGGGUAAAAUACCAUAAACUGAGGAAGCCAGCAAGGUAAGUCCUUUCUUACAGAAAACUACUAAAGUAGUUAUCAUUGGGAAAGAGUAUAGCAUUUGAGUUAAGGGGAAUCAAAGGGGCUAUAUCAUUUUACAUUGUAUUUUGGAGGGAUUUUAGAUGAAAUAUGCAUUAUCUUGUAGUAAAAAUAAAAUUUUUUUUAAAGAUUGGCA